GGCUCUGUGGAGGGAAAAGGAAAACAAGAAGAAUUUCAAUGAUGAAGGCCCCAGAUGAAGGGAGUGCUCUUAAUUUCUGAGCUUUUGUGAAGUGACAUUUCCAAGUCUGUAGUCCAUUUAUUGCUAUGUUCUGGCAGACUCUCACCAGGUGUUUUUCAACGAAGCACUAAACUUCCCCUCGUCGACUCCAAAAGGAAACCUUCAGGCACGUAUACGAGUCCCUCAUUAGCACUCGUCAGUGGCAACCAUUAUGGAAAGACCUGCUCAUAACCACUGAGUGUCAAGUCCUUAAUAGCAAAGCCUGGCUCUUCAUUAACCAGUAAACUUACUGAUUUACCGAGAGAUGUCUUUGCUUUUCUUGGAAUUUUUUCACCCACGUCUUAUCCAAGUGCCAACACCAUUUCCAGAAAAAUGGAAUGGAGCGGGGGAUUUAGAAAGCCUCUGCUGAUUAAUCCAUCAUAUUCUGACAACUGAAUUCCCAGAAACAGAGUAUCAGACUUUCGCAUAAAGUGUCAUUUUGACUGGAAUCUUUCAAGUUCAAGGCUCUGAAGUCCUCAGAGGAAGACUGCCCCAUAGU